GACGAACGCUGGCGGCGUGCUUAACACAUGCAAGUCGAACGAAAGAGGGGAAGAGCUUGCUCUUUUCAGAAUUGAGUGGCAAGCGGGUGAGUAACACGUAAACAACCUGCCUUCAGGAUGGGGACAACAGACGGAAACGACUGCUAAUACCGAAUAAGUUCCAAGAGCCGCAUGGCCCAUGGAAGAAAAGGUGGCCUCUACCUGUAAGCUAUCGCCUGAAGAGGGGUUUGCGUCUGAUUAGCUGGUUGGAGGGGUAACGGCCCACCAAGGCGAUGAUCAGUAGCCGGUCUGAGAGGAUGAACGGCCACAUUGGGACUGAGACACGGCCCAGACUCCUACGGGAGGCAGCAGUGGGGAAUCUUCCGGCAAUGGACGAAAGUCUGACGGAGCAACGCCGCGUGAGUGAUGACGGCC
rnacentral:rRNA from 1 species